rnacentral:rRNA from 1 species
UACGUAGGGGGCAAGCGUUGUCCGGAUUUAUUGGGCGUAAAGAGCGUGUAGGCGGCCAGACAGGUCCGUUGUGAAAACUGGAGGCUCAACCUCCAGACGUCGAUGGAAACCGUCUGGCUAGAGUCCGGAAGAGGAGAGUGGAAUUCCUGGUGUAGCGGUGAAAUGCGCAGAUAUCAGGAAGAACACCCGUGGCGAAAGCGGCUCUCUGGGACGGUACUGACGUUGAGACGCGAAAGCGUGGGGAGCGAACAGG